rnacentral:rRNA from 1 species
AGAGCAUAGGGUGGAUGCCUUGGCACUAAGAGCCGAUGAAAGACGUGAUAAGCUGCGAAAAGCUUCGGGGAGGAGCAAAUAUCCAUAGAUCCGGAGAUAUCUGAAUGGGGAAACCUACCUGGGAAGCCCCCAGGUGACGUAUGGUGAAUCCAUAGCCAUACGCCGGGAACCCGGCGAACUGAAACAUCUAAGUAGCCGGAGGAAGAGAAAGAAACAUCGAUUCCGGGAGUAGCGGCGAGCGAAACCGGAGGAGCCCAAACCAGCGCGCGUGCGUGCUGGGGUUACGGACUGCAUAAGUGAGCCAGAGAGCUAGCGGAAUGGCCUGGGAAGGCCAGCCGCAGAGGGUGAAAGCCCCGUACGCGAAAGGCCGAAGGCAGCGGCAGGAUCCAGAGUACCGCGGGACACGGGAAACCCUGCGGGAAGUCGGGGGGACCACCCCCCAAGGCUGAAUACUCCUUAGUGACCGAUAGAGCAGAGUACUGUGAAGGAAAGGUGAAAAGGACCCCGGGAGGGGAGUGAAAGAGAACCUGAAACCCUGUGUUUACAAGCUGUGGGAGCACGUUAAGGUGCGACCGCGUACUUUUUGUAGAACGGUCCGGCGAGUUGCCGGCGCUGGCGAGGUUAAGUGGUAAAGCCACGGAGCCGAAGGGAGACCAAGUCUGAAGAGGGCGUAAAGUCAGCGCAGGCAGACCCGAAACCGGGUGACCUAUCCAUGUCCAGGUUGAAGCGGAAGUAAAAUUCCGUGGAGGACCGGAUCCACAUCCGUUGAAAAGGGUGGGAAUGAGGUGUGGAUAGCGGAGAAAUUCCAAUCGAACCCGGAGAUAGCUGGUUCUCCUCGAAAUAGCUUUAGGGCUAGCCCCGUAUUAGUUUGGCGGAGGUAGAGCACUGAAUUCCUGCGGGGGCGUCAAAGCCUACCAAGGGAUAUCAAACUCCGAAUGCCGCAGAAAUGAUGUACGGGAGUCAGACCGCACGAGAUAAGUUGGGCGGUCAAAAGGGAAAGAGCCCAGACCUGCAGCUAAGGCCCCCAAGUGUGUGUUAAGUGGAAAAGGAUGUGGGAUUUCAGAGACAACUAGGAUGUUGGCUUAGAAGCAGCCACACAUUCAAAGAGUGCGUAAUAGCUCACUAGUCGAGAGGUCCUGCGCCGAAAAUGUCCGGGGCUGAAACACACCGCCGAAGCUCAGGAACCGCAAGGUUGGUAGAGGAGCAUUCUUAUAGAGGCGAAGCAGUACCGGUAAGGAGCUGUGGAUUUAUAAGAAGAGAGAAUGCCGGAAUGAGUAGCGAGAUGGAGGUGGGAAUCCUCCAGGCCGAAUAUCCAAGGAUUCCAGAGUAAAGCUGAUCUGCUCUGGGUAAGUCGGGGCCUAAGGCGAGGCUGGGAAGCGUAGCCGAUGGACAACAGGUUGAGAUUCCUGUACCGCGCGUUAUCAGAACUGUGGGGACGCAGAAGGACAGCAUGGCCCGGGGAUGGGAAGCCCGGGGCAAGCGGGGUAGGAGUGAGGAAGGCAAACCCGCCUCACAAUCCGAAUCCGUGACGCGGAGCGAAAAGAAGUAGCGAAGCAUGCGAUUCCGGCUGCCGAGAAAAGCCGCUAUUGUGUAACGCGUGCCCGUACCGUAAACCGACACAGGUGGAUGAGGAGAGAAUCCUAAGGCCGGCGGGAGAAGCAUUGUCAAGGAACUCGGCAAAAUGACCCUGUAACUUCGGGAGAAAGGGUGCCGGAGAGAUCCGGCCGCAGAGAAUAGGCUCAAGCAACUGUUUAGCAAAAACACAGGUCUAUGCGAAACCGUAAGGUGAGGUAUAUGGGCUGACGCCUGCCCGGUGCUGGAAGGUUAAGAGGAGGGGUUAGCGGAAACGCGAAGCUCUGAAUUUAAGCCCCAGUAAACGGCGGCCGUAACUAUAACGGUCCUAAGGUAGCGAAAUUCCUUGUCGGGUAAGUUCCGACCCGCACGAAAGGCGUAAUGAUUUGAGCGCUGUCUCGACAAUGCACCCGGUGAAAUUGAAAUACCAGUGAAGAUGCUGGUUACCCGCGCCAGGACGGAAAGACCCCAUGGAGCUUUACUCCAGCUUGAUACUGGGAUCCGGUGCGUCAUGUACAGGAUAGGCGGGAGGCGAAGAAGUGAGGACGCCAGUCUUCACGGAGCCGCUGUUGGGAUACCGCCCUUGAGGUACUGGGUUUCUAACCUGCAUCCAUGACCUGGAUGGGGGACAAUGUCAGGCGGGGAGUUUGACUGGGGCGGUCGCCUCCGAAAGGGUAUCGGAGGCGCUCAAAGGUUCCCUCAGAAUGGAUGGAAACCAUUCGAAGAGUGCAAAGGCAGAAGGGAGCUUGACUGCGACACCGACGGGUGGGGCAGGUAGGAAACUAGGACUUAGUGAUCCGGUGGUAAGAAAGUGGGAUUGCCAUCGCUCAACGGAUAAAAGCUACCCUGGGGAUAACAGGCUUAUCACUCCCAAGAGUUCACAUCGACGGAGUGGUUUGGCACCUCGAUGUCGGCUCAUCGCAUCCUGGGGCUGAAGCAGGUCCCAAGGGUUGGGCUGUUCGCCCAUUAAAGCGGUACGCGAGCUGGGUUCAGAACGUCGUGAGACAGUUCGGUCCCUAUCCGGCGCGGGCGUAGGAUAUUUGAGGGGAGCCGUCCUUAGUACGAGAGGACCGGGACGGACGGGCCGCUGGUGGACCUGUUGGGGACCAACCCCAUGGCAGGGUAGCCAAGCCCGGAGGGGAUAAACGCUGAAGGCAUCUAAGCGUGAAGCCGCCCCCGAGAUGAGAUAUCCCAUCCGGAAGGAGU